UAACAUGAGGGAUCUUAGGGUCAAAAUUGGGGUCUUACAUACCCUCUCUUCUCUUCUUUUUCCAAAGGUUAGGAAUAUUUCUACAAAUCCCUUUGGAGGUUACUGAAGCACAAAUACCUAUUAAUAUAUCCCCCAUGUAUGGUGCCAUACUUUAUUUUUUUUCAAGCCCAAGUUGGUAAACAACUCUACAUACACGAUGUCACAUGAACUCUCCUCAUCCACGAGAAUUCAUGAAACAC
rnacentral:lncRNA from 1 species